rnacentral:rRNA from 1 species
AUAUUCCUGUACCACCUAUAAUCGUUUUAAUCGAUGGGGGGACGCAGUAGGAUAGGCGAAGCGUGCGAUUGGAUUGCACGUCUAAGCAGUAAGGCUGAGUAUUAGGCAAAUCCGGUACUCGUUAAGGCUGAGCUGUGAUGGGGAGAAGACAUUGAGUCUUCGAGUCGUUGAUUUCACACUGCCGAGAAAAGCCUCUAGAUAGAAAAUAGGUGCCCGUACCGCAAACCGACACAGGUAGUCAAGAUGAGAAUUCUAAGGUGAGCGAGCGAACUCUCGUUAAGGAACUCGGCAAAAUGACCCCGUAACUUCGGGAGAAGGGGUGCUCUUUAGGGUUAACGCCCAGAAGAGCCGCAGUGAAUAGGCCCAAGCGACUGUUUAUCAAAAACACAGGUCUCUGCUAAACCGUAAGGUGAUGUAUAGGGGCU